AACACGACUCUCGACAACGAAUAUCUUGGCUCUCGCCACGAUGAAGAAUGUAGCGAAAUGCGACACUUGGUGUGAAUUGUAGAAUCCCGUGAAUCAUCGAGUCUUUGAACGCAAGUUACGCCUGAGGCUUCAGCCAAGGGCACAUCUGCCUGGGCAUCGCAC
rnacentral:rRNA from 1 species